CAAUCCUUAACCCACUCUGCUUCUGCCAGCUAAGGGGCAGGUUGUAUCCUGACAGCCUGGGUUCCUGGGAAGUGUUCAGCUGCAGACUCAGCAAACAGGAGACCGGAGCGUCUGAAGCUAGCUGCCAGGAGUAGUUCAUUUCCACACUCCCCCGGGGGCCUACCCACUGCUUGGACAAUCAGGUUUGUGCUCAGGCUGUCCAAACACAAGGUCAGCAGAGGAGAGGCUACAAUAACAGGACAACUUUACUGCUGCCUUCCCAAUUGAAGGCGACACCCUCCUCUGAGCAUCAAUGGCUCUGUCUCCAAGAGGAGUCCUGGACUUGAUCUAGGCCAGCCCACACAAAACCUAAUCUGCAGAAAGGCAUGGUGGCCUGACUUCUCACUGGCCUGCAAUGGGAAUAGAAGGAGGGACCCGCCCAUCAGUUGAAUUCAGGCCUCUGACCGCUACAGAGCAUCUCCUAUGAGCCAUGCAACAUGAAAUAAGGGACUGCAGCCGCCAGGGACAUUGAAAGUGAACAAUGGUGUCAAGGAACAGCCUGCCCAUGGGAAGUCACAAGAACUUUUGGGAGGGACACUCCCACCCAUGGAGCCAGAAGAGCAUGGAGAGUCAAGCUGUGACCUCGGGAGAGCCCUUCAACAAGGCACUGAUGACCCAGCCCUGUCAGGCCUUCUCAGCUGGAAUGAAUGGUCUGUGGUUGCAAGGAAACAGUUGACCCACUAAUGUGUGCAGACAUUAGCUGUGUGAUCUCAGCAAGUUUAACCUUUUGAAGAUCCAGUACCUACAAACUAGGUAGAGCAGGAGUCUAUUCUUAAGGGGAUACCAUACCACAUCAGGCUCUAGUGAAGGUCAAAGAGAAAGCGAAGGGCAGGAGUUAGAAGCCAUGCCUGGCUCACACAGGAGUGUCUGGCAGAUCAUCCAACACUCAAUGGCUGGGGAGUGGCAGCCUUUCUAGAGACUAGCUUGGAGCAAAAGGAAAGUAAGACAGAGCACAGAGGCAGGUUGUUCUCUGUUCCUUAAGAGUUAAAAAAAAGAGAAGAAAGAUGGCCGAGUCCUAACAUAAAGCAGUCUGCCCUCAGCCUGGCCAGCAGUGGAGGGAGGGAGGGCAGGAGGUCUGGAGGCAGCCAGAAAAGCAGUGGAGCUGGGG